GACGAACGCUGGCGGCGUGCCUAAUACAUGCAAGUCGAGCGAAGUUUUUCUGGUGCUUGCACCGGAAAAACUUAGCGGCGAACGGGUGAGUAACACGUAAAGAACCUGCCUCAUAGACUGGGACAACUAUUGGAAACGAUAGCUAAUACCGGAUAAUAGCAUUAACUGCAUGGUUGAUGUUUAAAAGUUGGUUUUGCUAACACUAUGAGAUGGCUUUGCGGUGCAUUAGCUAGUUGGUGGGGUAAAGGCCUACCAAGGCGACGAUGCAUAGCCGACCUGAGAGGGUGAUCGGCCACACUGGGACUGAGACACGGCCCAGACUCCUACGGGAGGCAGCAGUAGGGAAUCUUCCGCAAUGGGCGAAAGCCUGACGGAGCAACGCCGCGUGGGUGAAGAAGGAUUUCGGUUCGUAAAGCUCUGUUGUUAGGGAAGAAUGAUUGUGUAGUAACUAUACACAGUAGAGACGGUACCUAACCAGAAAGCCACGGCUAACUACGUG
rnacentral:rRNA from 1 species